CUUUAAGUUAGCACCCAGAACACAAAAGAUGCUUUCUCUUCCUUUCUAGAGGAUUAAUUACAGAGGACUGGAUGGGACUUGAAUUUAGCAAAAACCUCUACAUGUCUCUGAAGAUACGCGUGUUCCAACUUAAUUUUCCAUUGUGGGGAAACAGACAAGUGUGUCUGACACGUACUGAACAGGAAAUAAGAAAGCAUUUUUAUGUGAAGAAAAUAUGAGGAUGCCAUUAACAUCACAGAGUGUUGCGAAGAGGAAAUGAGGCAGUGUAGGCAAAGGGCUUGGCAUGUGGGAAGCCAACCAUGAAGAGUAACUUCCGUGACUUGUUUUUAUUACUUCUAUUUUAUUAAAAGGUAAGAAUUUACACGUGCUCUGUGACAUGGGGAACUAUUUGCAUACCUGAAAAGUACACCUCAGUUGCUAAAAAUUUUUAGUCUGUAACUAUGGUUUUCUUCCUCAUAAUUGGUUAUCUGCUUCUGCCAUGUUCUGAUAUUGUUUAGUGGUGAAAAAUAAUAUUGAAUAUGUAAUGAAUCACACCAUCAUGUAUGAUUAUAUUGCACCAAUAAAAAAUAUGGAGAAAAACAUAAGCUCUAGAAAAUUCAGCUCCAUCAUUUACUGAUUUGUAGGCAAUUUAUUCAUUUUUCUAAGCCACAGUUUUCCUUCUUUCAAAGGGGGAUCUGUAUUCUUAUUGAAACAAUUCCAUAAAUUUGAUAAUAUGAUACUGUCCCUUUGUGAUAUAAGUAAGAAUUUCGAGAAAAUAUUCUAUAUCUUAAGAUGCCCUCAAUAUAACCUUCUCAGCAUCUGUUUUCUUUUCUUUUAUUUCCAAGUUUGUCUACUUACUUCAGCAUUUUAAAUUUGGUCAGGACAACUCAUUCAAUAUUCCUUCUUAUUUUUCCCAAAUGCCUGAUUGCCUUUGAACACCUCCUUUAUUUGUCUUUCAUUUUUUAGCACUGGCAGAUUUGGUAUAUUUGUUGCCAUCGUUUGGGAUGGUUUGGCGGGAAAGGUUUUCCUAAGGGAGAAAGAUUUCAUAUCACCCCACCCCUUUUGUGGGGAAAGCAGGUUGGCUUCUAUUACCAGUUUUGACACAUUCAUAUUGUGGAAAUUGUUUGCAUGUAUCAGUUUUUGAAAUAGCUAGUUCCACUCUCUAUUUUCCUGAUUGCUUUUGAUUCAGCCAAUUUCAUUUGGCGCUCUCUCUCUCUCUCUCUCUUCCACUUGUAUUAGGAAUUUUGUAACUGCAGAAAUAAUGAGUUGGAAACAAUAAUUAUGUAUACCUUUAGAGGAAAACACAGACAUACAGAUUCAAUGUAAUUCCUAUCAAAAUGUCAAUGAUAUUGUGUGCAUGUACAAAUAUGUAACAACAAAUCCCAUCAUUAUGUACCAUUAAAAUGUGGAAAAAAUACCAAUGACAUUCUCCAUAGGGCUAGAGAAAAUAAUUCCACAGUUAAUUGGAAACACACACACAUACACACACACACACACACACACACAAAGCUUCAAUAGCAAUCUUGAGCCAAAGAACAAAACAGGAGGCCUUAUACCAACUGACUUCAAAACAUACUUUAAAGCUGUGGUCACAGAAAGAGCAUGAUAUUGGCUGAAAAACUGACACAUGAACCAUUGGAACAGAAGUACACCAAGAUCUACACAUCUACAGCAAUUGAUUUUCAACAAAGGUGAUAAGAACACACAUUGGAGAAAGACAGUCUUUUUAAUAAAUGAAGUUGGGAAAACUGAAUAUCCACAUCGAAAGGAUGAAACUAGACCCCUCUCUUUCCCUAUAUGCAAAAAUCAACUUGAAAUGAACUAAAGUCUUAAGACCUGAAACUACUAAAAGAAAAUAGGGGAAGCGCUUUGGGAUAUUGGAAUGGGUAGGAUUUUUGGGCAAAAUCCCCAAAACAUAGGGAACAAAAGGAAAAAUAGACAAAUGUGAUUACAUCAAAUAAAAAGCUUCGACACAUCAAAGAAAACAACAGAGCAAAAAAAAAAAAAAAAAAAAAAAAAAAAC